AGUAAAGUGGCGACCGGGUGAGUAACACGUGACUAACCUACCUUCAAGUGGGGGAUAACCUCGGGAAACCGAGGCUAAUACCGCAUAAUAUCGCAAGAUCAAAGCAGCAAUGCGCUGGAAGAGGGGGUCGCGGCUGAUUAGCUAGUUGGCGGGGUAAUGGCCCACCAAGGCUUUGAUCGGUAGCCGGCCUGAGAGGGCGCACGGCCACGCUGGAACUGAAACACGGUCCAG
rnacentral:rRNA from 1 species